rnacentral:misc_RNA from 1 species
GUUGCUGCAUGAUUAGGUAAAAUUUUUUUCCCUUCAUGCUCCUUUCCAGUUUUUGUUGGCACGAAAUCAUUAGCACAAUUGUUCCUGUUUUCAUUUAUUUUCCUUUUAUCUAUGGCUGACUUGUUAGAUUCCUCUGACUCACUCACUAUAAUCUCAGAAGAAGGAACACUGACUACGGCAGCUUCUACAUCAUCACUAGCUACAUUUCCCAUGAAACCAUCAGCUGGGAAUAGAACUCCCUUGGCUAUAACUUGGACAAGAUCACCUGAAAGAAUUACAAGCGUUUCAAUCACGUUCCAAUUGGCUACAUUUGCAUCACACUUCCCCUUCUUAGUCAAUUUUGCUUCCUUCAACACAAUACCAUAGUCCUUGUCAACGGAAGCAGUGUGGAAAGUUCCAGAAUAGAC